CGGAAGGGCUAGAGCAGCUCAGAAACCAGGCAACUGGAAAUGAACUUGGUUCUGAUACAUCAUUGCCAUUUCCAAAAAACGUGCGUAGCAAAUGUGGACGAAAUGAAUGAAACCAUGUAACAAUGUUCUUCAAACUAAAUUUAAAACUGAGUUGCCCAGAACGAAAAAAAUAACCACUAGCCAUUUUAAUAACUCAUAUGUAGAUUAAAUGAACAAGCUGUCCACCUAAAUAUCUCAUUUCGAUGUCAUCUACUCGCCUGCACACAUGGAUUAAUAGUUACUUUAUACUUUUUAGGCUGCAGCGAACGCAAGAUUCUCAAAGAAAUAGUUUCCUAACAGAAUGACUGAUACCAUUGUGGAAAGAGACAUUAUUCAGGACAUUAUCUGUUUCAUUCUUCCGUCAAGGACAUUUGGAACCACAAAUCAGUCAGGGGAUAAAGAUCCUCACUGUGCCUCACUGUAGACACCUUUGGAAGAGAAACACCUUGUCAGCCACAGAAAUUAAGCUCUGCCAGUUCCAUCUGGCUCUGACGGCAGAUCAUCACACCAGAAGAGCGUCUCGGUUUCAUGAGGUGAGGGUCUGUUUCUCAAAUACCAUCUCCCUCAAUAAAAUCACUAGUCAGGACAAUCCCCGCCCCCCCCGCAUUACUUCUCUUAAUAAAGUAUUGAUGCUAUUCAAAUGACAGUGCUGGGCUAAAUGAAAGCCGGUCAGGGUUUUGCUUCCAACUGGAACACUGCAAGCCCUCUAAAGGGAAAUACUUCUCAUUCCUUUGUGUCGAAUUCUGCUACAGUAGUUCCUCAAAUUGCUGCUGUUGCGAUUUCCUUCUCCCUCAAAAGUCAAAACCCAUUUUUCCCUGAUGUUUGGGUCCCUGAACUUUUUCUUCUGAUCAAAUCAUCCUCCCCACUUAACCCUCUCCCCUCUCACCCAAUAUAGGCUUUUCUUUUCCGGUUUUGCUUGACUUCAUUAAGGAAAGUAAAUUAAUCUCUGUUUGUCUGUGGUAUUUGUAAGUUGCUCUUUUUUCUUCGGUAUUACUUUCUGGAGAAUGACUACGCCCAACUUUCUAACUUUUUCUUUGUAAUGUGGAUGUUUUAUUUUCUAAUCCACAUUUCUCUUUGCAGUUUCUUGAACUUCCUUUGGUUGGUGUCACAGCCAGCCACCCAGUAGAGACUGAGACCACCAGUUCAUUUCACACAGGCCACUGAACAGUCAUAAGAUGGUGACAACUUUUGGUCUCUAGUGACCUGGACUGGAUCCGACUCACUGACCUAGAGGUGAAAGGCUCUGUAUUCCAUUACUAAUCCCUCGAGCUCUCCAGCCCCCUGAAAAUGAUUCUUUGGUUUUAUUAUUGCAAAGACCAUUUAUAAAAUCAUGAACUGGAUUUAGGAAAGCAACCAUGAAAUAGCAAGGGACAACAAACUGAUUGAAAUUCCUUAAAUGUAGCAUGGGCUGAAGUCUCUCAGACAGUAAGAUUGGGGGGAAAGUUAUAUAUAGGCACCUCCAUUCUGAUUUCAGUAGCGUGACCUGCUCACUUAAACGUGGCAACUUCAGAUCAUGGACCACGCCUCAAGGAACUAAAUCCUAAAUAAAGAAAAUGGAAAAGCAAACUAUGAAAUAGCCAAUAAUCUUUAUUUUGCACUUCCCCCACCCCUCACCCCUCUCCAAAAACCA
rnacentral:lncRNA from 1 species